ACUUACGUCGAUAGUAUAAAAAAGAAGAUGUGGUAUGAUUGCCAAUGAGACAACUAUCCACAAAAGACCAAAAUGACACAGACAUUAACAACUAUAGGUCACCGUACGGCCUUCAACAAUGAGCAAAGCCCAUACCGCAUAGUCAGCUAUAAAAGGCCCCGAUAAGACAAUGUAAAACAAUUCAAACGAGAAAACUAACGGCCUUAUUUAUGUAAAAAAAAUGAACAAAAAACAAAUAUGUAACACAUAAACAAACGACAACCACUGAAUAUACAGGCUCCUGGGACAGGCACAUACAUAAAUAAUGUGGCGGGGUUAAACAUGUUAGCGGGAUCCCAACCCUCCCCUAACCUGGGACAGUGGUAUAACAGUACAACAUAAGAACGAACUAUAAAAAUCAGUUGAAAAAGG
rnacentral:lncRNA from 1 species